rnacentral:rRNA from 1 species
CGCGUAGGCGGUUCGAUUAGUUAGGCGUGGAAUUCCUGGGCUUAACCUGGGGACUGCGCUUAAUACAGUCGGGCUUGAGUUCGGAAGAGGGUUGUGGAAUUCCCAGUGUAGAGGUGAAAUUCGUAGAUAUUGGGAAGAACACCGGUGGCGAAGGCGGCAACCUGGUCCGAGACUGACGCUGAGGCGCGAAAGCGUGGGGAGCAAACAGGAUUAGAUACCCUGGUAGUCCACGCUGUAAACGAUGUGUGCUGGAUGUUGGGCGACCUAGUCGCUCAGUGUCGUAGCUAACGCGAUAAGCACACCGCCUGGGGAGUACGGCCGCAAGGUUGAA